CUGUUUUUAUCCCAUAAGAAAAAUGAUAUUUUAUUGAUCAGGAAUAAUAGUAAUUCAUUUUCGCUGAAAUCUGCAAUUAGUUUCAUCGGAAACAAAUAUAGUUAUCUCUCAAUCAAAUAUCGUAGUAAUUUAUUUAUAGAUUUGCGCAUCCACAUGUAAUGUACAUACGUGUAUAUCGUACGUGAAAUGAAAUAGAACGUAGAUAUACGCUUACUGAAACCACAAAAUGCAAGAGAGAGAGAGAGAGAGAGAGAGAUCAAACUCGACUGCGUCCAUUUCGCGACGGUUAAAGAAGUUCAUUGAAGAGGACAUUUCUAUGCGCGUGCAUUCACGUUCCGAUUGACGAUUUCAUUUUGAUCCUCAAAAGCAGAAGACCUUCUGCCGGACCUUUUGGGCCUCGCUUUUCGUUUCUUCCCUUCCAUUUCCAUCGGGAGCUUUCCCGAUUAUCGGUGACCCACCACCUUUGUGCGCAUCGAACGAUCGGAGCACAAUGGUCGUCACAAUACCACUGCAUCGAGCCGUAAAACCAUAGACUUUUGGAAAUCGUGAAACGAUCCGAAACGCGACUUACGUAAGUAUAUUGCGAUAAAAUCGUACGUAUCCUGUGUACGUAGUAGGAAUCAGCUUCUCAAUUCUCUGAUCUGGAGAUUUUCCAUUAGGCGAAUAUAUUCGAAAGCGUUGUAUUUCAGAAAGGCGUAAAGAAAGUGGAAACGUGUAGAGAAAUUCUUGUAAACUUUAUUAGUUGACAGUUUAAACGUUUGAGAAAGGUAUUUUCCUAGUUAUAAGUACACUUUCGAAUAUUUGAUUCUGUAAAAAAAGUUCUCUUACUAUAAUAUUUUUUUAUUGUGAAAUAUUACUGUAACUUGUAGUCAGUUGUAUUUACUUGUACAUUCCUUUGCUGGCCUUUGUGUUACGAUUGCUCAGAGAGAAUCCAUUUUUUGAAACCUUUGUGCUAGCCAUGUAAAUCGUGCAUAAAACGAAUAUCACUUGUACUUAUCAGGAUAACGCUACUAAAUAAUGUAAUAACUAAAUGAUACUAAUAGCAAGUUUUAUAGUGCAACGUGGCGCUAGAAGAUAUUCAAAGAAUAAUUAAUUCUUGAUUAAAAUCGUCGAUAUAGUACAUUAUGUAUAUAAAUAAAUAUUACGUGUUCUUAAACUCAGAAAAUCCAACAAUCUACAAUUUCAUCAAUUCCGCAAGACUUUGUCCGAAAAUAAAUUUUUGCUUGGAAACAUUGAUUUUAAUCAACCAAUUCGCCAACGGUACAAAAUUCUUUUUAAAAACACCGUUCCGUCCAUGUUCGUAGGAAAAUCGUAGUCGGACAAAAAGUCAAAGUUCAUCUCCUUCGGUGACGUUUUCCUCCGUUACACAGCAAGAGAAACGUAACGGUCGUGUAAAAAAGAAGUCGAUUAACGGGAAGGAUAAAUUCGUCCGCUUAAAAAAUCAAUCGAAGAAGAAACGGUUCGCCCCUUUUCAAUUCCCCUCGCGGCUUCGUCCGUACAAAGCCGCGAAAUUGCUGACGAAUUACCCAUUUUUCCCGCCUCUCGACGCUGCUCUCUCUGCUCGAUCAUACCCACACACAUAGAUGUGACACGCGUACUCGUGCGUAAAUCGAUGGAACAGAAUAGAACGCGAAAAGGAGAAAUUCCGAACGACAAAAGUGCGUUGGCGCGUGUAUCGAGCGGUUCUCGAGAAGUGAAAAGAUCGGACAAAGGGAUUCACGAGACGCGUAUGAGAUAAGAGGACAAAGAAGAAGACGCGAAUCGUGGCGAAUAAUUUCAAGUAAUUAAAAGAAGGCCGACUGGUCAAUCCAGCUUGACGAAUUUCAUUUCAACGCGAACGUUGUUUGCGCGCCGCAAGCGAGCGAUGCGCUUCGCAGAUUCGUCGUCCUCGUGUGUGAAAUUGCUAGUGGAAUCUGUGCGAUGAUCGUCGACAUAAUUUCAGACGUGAGAUUUUUAUGAAGGCAGAUCUUACAAUUCAACGCUUAACUUAACACGUUGUAAAUUUUAGAAGGAAAGUAUAAAGCAAUGUGAUCAUCCUGGUAUGAAGUGAAAUUUUAAGAUCAUUGAAUAGAGUGGUUGGUAGAAUGGAUAUAUUUUUAGCCAUACUAGCAAAAAGGUAGAAAUUGAUUAGAGGCAUAAUUUAUUUUUCAAAUGUUGUACCAUUUAUUUUACCUUUUAUAUUUCAUACAUUUUUUCAAUUAUGUUACCAAUUGUGUUAGAAUUAUCGUCUAUUAUUUUAUAAUCCAUAUCCAUAGUCUAACAUCUCGUUCUAUUUGGUACGAAUGCAUAUUUAUAUGAGUUGAUGCGAAGUAUAAUUGUAAGGGGUGAGAUUGGAACGACGAAAGAUGUUUUGUAAAUAUAAAUUUUAGAUCGAAUGUAAUGUCGUAGACUGUGCCUGAACAUGUCGCAGAACAUUUUUACGUAUGUUUUAUUGACAAGUAGUAGAUGAAAUGUCUGUUUUUUUCAACAUUUCUGUAUCAUAACAUAUUCAAUUGCUUUAAUGGAUUAUGUUUCAUUCAUGCUACUUUUUAAAUAUCUGGUUUAUAGAUCGUGCUCUGUUCAGAGAGUCUGCAUAAAAUCGAUAAUAACCGUAGCUUAAAAGUUACAGGCCGUGCCAUUUAGUUUCCAAUAUUUCCAACGAAGAUUCCACGUAUAAAUAUUUGAAUGAUACUAAACUAUGUCGGACACGUCUGAAAAGGAUUUAGAAUCUUGUAACUUAAACCUUCACACGAGCGCUUAGCACAUACUUGAAUCUUAACGCAUACAACGAGGAUCAAAGUUUUCUUCCUAAGAAGAUUAUUUUACUGAAAUAAAAUGGCAUGAAAUUAAAAUAACGUCGUAACAUUAAUUUGAGACAAAGUAGUCUUGGAUACGCGUAUUUAAUUACUAAAGUGCUUGAACAAAGCUCACAUUAAUAAAGAUAAUCAAUAAUAAAGUCACAAUUGCUCAUUGUAUUUGUAAUUGCAUCCUGUUCAAAAUAAAUAAGCGAUUAGAUACUUUUAGCAA